rnacentral:rRNA from 1 species
AUUGAACGCUGGCGGCAUGCUUUACACAUGCAAGUCGAACGGCAGCGCGGGCUUCGGCCUGGCUGCGCGUGGCGCACGGGUGUGUAAUACACCGGAAUGUGCUCCGCUGUGGGGGAUAGCAAGGCGAAGGCCGGGUUACUAAUGCAUACGACCUGCGGGUGAAAGAGGGGGAUCUUUGGACCUCGUGCUCUUGGAGCGGCCGAUGGGAGAGUUGCUAGUUGGUGGGGUGAAGACCUACUAAGGCGGCGAUCGGUAGCUGGCCUGAGAGGACGACCGGCCACACUGGGACGGGGACACGGCCCAGGCGACUGCGAGAGGCAGCAGUGGGGAAUGGUGGGCAAUGGGCGGAAGCCUUGUCCAGCAAUGCCGCGUGUGUGAUGAAGGCCUUCGGGUUGGAAAGCACGUUUGGCGGUAGCGAAAAGCACUGGGCCAAUACCACGGGUGGAUGACGGUACCCGCAAAAUAAGCACCGGCUAACUACGUG